rnacentral:rRNA from 1 species
CUGAGUUCAGACCGGAGCAAUCCAGGUCAGUUUCUAUCUAUAAUAACGCUUCUUCCAGUACGAAAGGACCAAAAAAGCAUGGCCCAUGCUCUAAGCAAGCCAUCGCAAGUAAUUUAUGACUUUAACUCAAUAUACAACUUGCCUCCCACUAACCUCAAGACAAGAGA